GUGGCACUGUAAGUGCUCCUGUGAAGUAUUUCUAUCACAAACACACUCCCAUGGAAAGUCACUGCAUGAAAGGCAUCCACAUGCCAGGCAGAGCCAGUGCCACAAUUUUCCCUUGAUAAGUAGAUGUGGCCCUUCUCUCUUCACUGCAGUACAGGCCGCAUUUCUUCCCCUCCUUGCCAGCUCAUGAAUGCACAGAAUGAUACAGGAAUACUGGUGUCUUAGGGAGUGGUGAUUAUGAAGACAGGAUGGGCCUGUGGUGUAGCUCAGAUCAAAACCACAGCAAGCUUUGAAAAUCAGGUUUGUGUCCUUGUCUUUCACAAGUCAGAGGGGCCCUGGCAACAGGGAGAUGUUCUCCAAGCCUCCUGUACUGCUCAAAAGAGAAUAAACUGCUAUAUUUAGAAGAACA